CCCAGCUCGUCAUGCUAGAGCACUUUUUCAAUGUGCUCCCCAACGACAAGGUGAUGACGCAUUCAGGGUUCCGGAGAGGGAGCCUGAGAAACUGCUACCACAAGCAAGGAAGGCAGCAGGCACGCAAAUGACCUAUGCCCGAUGCGGGAAGGUAGUGACG